rnacentral:lncRNA from 1 species
UAUAUAGAAGGGGACUUUUGUCAGAGUUCCAAAAGAAUUUAAUAUUUUCAGUCAAAUGUGGCAAAAAGAAGAUUAGUAACAUCUGAUGAAUAAAACGUAUUCUUUCAAAUGGGAAUAGGAACAUAAUGAAUGUCCUGCAGGUGAUUGGGCCCGUAGCAAUUUUACUGAAGAUUCAAGUUUGACUGACCUUUGUUAGGGUGAUUAACCUCCUGAAAUUAGAAGCCCCAUCUGAAUUAGUCUGUCUAAUUUAAAUGCAAA